UGGGGAAUAUUGGACAAUGGGCGCAAGCCUGAUCCAGCCAUGCCGCGUGAGUGAUGAAGGCCCUAGGGUUGUAAAGCUCUUUCACCGGUGAAGAUAAUGACGGUAACCGGAGAAGAAGCCCCGGCUAACUUCGUGCCAGCAGCCGCGGUAAUACGAAGGGGGCUAGCGUUGUUCGGAUUUACUGGGCGUAAAGCGCACGUAGGCGGACUAUUAAGUCAGGGGUGAAAUCCCGGGGCUCAACCCCGGAACUGCCUUUGAUACUGGUAGUCUUGAGUUCGAGAGAGGUGAGUGGAAUUCCGAGUGUAGAAGUGAAAUUCGUAGAUAUUCGGAGGAACACCAGUGGCGAAGGCGGCUCACUGGCUCGAUACUGACGCUGAGGUGCGAAAGCGUGGGGAUCAAACAGG
rnacentral:rRNA from 1 species